rnacentral:tRNA from 1 species
UCAGAGGAAGGAAAGUUUCCCAUUUCUAAACCCCAAAUUUAAUAUUUUAAUUAAACUACCCUCUG